rnacentral:rRNA from 1 species
UUCGGAUUGUAAACUCCUUUUAUCGGGGACGAUAAUGACGGUACCUGAAGAAAAAGCUCCGGCUAACUACGUGCCAGCAGCCGCGGUAAUACGUAGGGAGCGAGCGUUGUCCGGAAUUACUGGGUGUAAAGGGAGCGUAGGCGGGACGGCAAGUCAGAUGUGAAAACUGAGGGCUCAACCUUCAGACUGCAUUUGAAACUGCUGUUCUUGAGUGAAGUAGAGGUAAGCGGAAUUCCUAGUGUAGCGGUGAAAUGCGUAGAUAUUAGGAGGAACAUCGGUGGCGAAGGCGGCUUACUGGGCUUUUACUGACGCUGAGGCUCGAAAGCGUGGGGAACAAACAGGAUUAGAUACCCUGGUA